UAGUGUUUUGAAUGCCUCAAAAGUUCAAACAAGAAUGAGUGUGACUGUAAGGUUUUCUUUUCUUUUUAUUUUCUCCCUGCAAUUCAAGUAACAUCUCUCAUGUUUGCUUGUGAUUGUGUAUAUCAACAUCUAUGUUGCUCGGACUCGGGUGCGGGUGUCGGACACGGGUGCGGGGAUAUGUGUCGGACUCUUAAUUUUUCUAAACUUAAGAUACGUGGACACGGCUAAAAAGGAUCCGAAAUUAGGACACGGGUGCGGGGAUACGUUUGAUAAAUAAAAAGAUAAUUCUUUAGUAGACAAUAGAAAAAUAUUUUAUAGAUAAUAAUUUGCAAGAAAAUACAUAAAUAUAUCAUCAAACUAUAAAAUAAGGAGCUUUAUCAGGUGAUAGUCCUUCUAUUCUAAAUCACUAAAGCUGGAUAAAUUGGCGGCUUUGGGAUAGCUAAGGUAAGUGACGAACUGACUUCUAGAAUUUAGAUAAUGGGUAAUUCACUAAUUUGUAUAUAAAUUAAUAUUUAAUAGAUUAGUUGAUAUAGUAAUAGAAUAUCCUAAUAUUUUAGAAUAAAUGAUAUACAGCUGUAUACCUCCUGCACACCACACUAAUUUGCCUCACACUUAAUUAAUAAUAUUUUAUUAGAAUAGUGAUAUACAGCUGUACUGUUUUAUCACAUUCACUUUUGCCUUAGUUCACCUUCUUCACCACAGAGAAAAAAAAUUCAUCUCUCCUUCUUUCCACCGCCGAGUCCGCACAAAAUAUGAAGAACCCGGUGCGUAUCCCGCACCCGGAUCCGUGUCGUACCCGAAGGACACGGGUACUCUCCCAUUUUAGGAGAGUCCGAGCAACAUAGAUCAACAUUGAUCCACAUGAAGCCAAAAGCCAUUCCAUAAUCUGAUUUUAAAACAAAGCAAGCUACAUCUGAAGCUCUAUAUAUUAUAGCUCAAACAGAAUAUUAGAAUCAGUUAUUGGAAACCAAUGUACUCCCUCCA
rnacentral:lncRNA from 1 species